rfam:Hordeum vulgare subsp. vulgare, WGS project CAJW01000000 data, contig: morex_contig_51194
AUACUACUCCCUCGGUCCGAAAAUGCUUGUCUUAGAGAUGAAUGUUUCUAAAAUUAUUUUAGUUAUAGAUACAUCUAUUAUAUUCAUUUUCGGGACAAGUAUUUUCGGACGGAGGGAGUAUAUA